GUUAGGAAUAUUGGACAAUGGGCGAAAGCCUGAUCCAGCCAUGCCGCGUGCAGGAAGAAGGCCUUCGGGUUGUAAACUGCUUUUGUACGGAACGAAACGGUCCGGGUUAAUACCCUGGGCUAAUGACGGUACCGUAAGAAUAAGCACCGGCUAACUACGUGCCAGCAGCCGCGGUAAUACGUAGGGUGCAAGCGUUAAUCGGAAUUACUGGGCGUAAAGCGUGCGCAGGCGGUUUUGUAAGACAGGCGUGAAAUCCCCGGGCUCAACCUGGGAAUUGCGCUUGUGACUGCAAGGCUGGAGUGCGGCAGAGGGGGAUGGAAUUCCGCGUGUAGCAGUGAAAUGCGUAGAUAUGCGGAGGAACACCGAUGGCGAAGGCAAUCCCCUGGGCCUGCACUGACGCUCAUGCACGAAAGCGUGGGGAGCAAACAGGAUUAGAUACCCGGGUAGUCC
rnacentral:rRNA from 1 species